GAAUGCAUAGUCAAUAAAUUCCAUCAUGGCUUGAGGUUAUUCAUUCUAUUUAUAUUAUUUAUUCAUUUGUUUAGGCAAAUGCAACAUACAUAUAUUUCCUCUCAAGCAUAUAUUUUAAAGGUGCGGCUAGUUUUAGAGGUUUAUAUAAAUAACCUAAUUAUUUUAGGAGAAAGUAAAGUAUAAUAUUCAUCAAAGGCUACCUUAAUUCAAAUAUUUCUAAAUAAUGUUUUAGAAAUAUAUAGUUCAUGAAGGCGAUAAUCUUUUCCUCAAUUUAUUCUUUGAGGUUUCAAACUAUCCUCUAGUUUCAAGUUCAAACUCAAAUUUAGUUUAAGAUUUCAAAUUCAGUUAGAUGCACACUCAAAAUUUCAGCAUGAAUGCAAAACAUACUUUGAUUAAUUAAUUAAUUGAAUUAGUAUUUUAUCUAAACAAAAAGGCUU
rnacentral:lncRNA from 7 species